UGGUGUCUGUCGCAUCUGCUCAGCUGUGCCGUCCCAGCGUGGAAUCAGAGACAGGCAAUACGCUAAUGCGUGGGCCUGGGCGUGUUCCAAAGCCUCUUUAUUUAGUGAAACAGGUGGCAGGCCGGAUCCUGCACCGAGUCUCUAAGGUUAUUGAUGGCAGUUUUCAAAACACUGUUCAUCUUCACCAAUUUGGUGACGGUAUGCUGAGAAACCAGAUAUUGCCAGGCCUCUGAGUGUCCUGCCACAAGAUGCUGUGACAAAGGAAAGAUGAGGAAGCUCACGGUGGAGGGGCGCUGUGACCCCGUGCUCUGCCACCAGGAGGCCGUCUCGCUGCGCCAGGGCCCUACGGCUCCUACGUGUGAGCCUCCUCAUCCCCCUCGGGCCCAGAAACAUCCUGCUCGGCCACCAUUUUAUAAGAUUUAAAUAUUCCACACACUCAGAAGAAGAAGGGCAGCUUGGAGUGGGAGAAGCUGCCAGGCAGGGCCAUGCAAAGGGCUGUACCCAGGGACGCGGUGACAGAAAGAUACACGUGUGUGAGGUGGGGUGGGGUCAGCUAGGUUUUGAAAGCUCCCUGCGGAUUGGAAACUUCGAAUCAUCACCAGCACAGGGUGUGUCCCUGGAUGUCCGGUGCCUGGCCCCGGGGCCCUUUAGGACCGAUGUAUAGUGAUCCCAGAGGGUGGGUGGGGUGUGGACUUAAUCAGCUGCUCCAGAAGAGGCCGAUCUGCCUCUAGCCUCACGAUUGGCUCAAGGCAGCAUUACACUCCCCCCCAAACAAAACAAGCAGGUCACAGCCCCUCCUCCGCCGGGAUGCCCUCUCCCCCUCAGGCUGAGUCCCUAGCCCCGCCCACUGCAGGUGCCUGUCUGGCUCUACCCUACCUCAGGCCUGUGGGAAUCAGCAGUGCUGGAGGGCAGACAUUUCUCAAGGAUUGAAAUGCCAAUGCUGUGUUAGGUCUUUGUGUCACAGAUGUCCACAGAUUAUGCCCAAUAUAACUAAUAGCCCUUUUGGGGGCUGGCCAUUUUAGGAUUGUAUGUAUUGAAAUUAAGUUUCACAUAAGAUAAAAGCAUUUACUAAUGACGCUCCUUUGAGAGGAAGCCUUUUGUCUGCAAAGCAAGAGGAAUUAUUAUGCUGGGCGUUUUAAACAGCAGAGGAAGGAGGCUCAUCGCGUUGUAACAGGUGCAAACUUAGUUACGCAGUUGGCACAGGAAACGAGUGAGUUGCACACAGAGAGUACCUGCCACUGGUGUAAGGUAAAAGGGACACGUUUUUGUUUCUAGUAUAUUCCAGAUUUAAUAUUUUGCCUGAUUUAAAAAUUAGACCGAAGGUCUGACCAGCUAUGUAAAGAUGAUGAUUAUAUGUGACUUGAUAUACUCUUUUAUUGUCAUUAACAUCUCUUUUUAAAUCUGGUGAUUAAGGUGCUGCAGAAAGAAAUGUUCACACCAGAAAAUCACCGUGCAGAAUACUUUCCCAAUGCUUGUAAUGUAAAGAAACACAUCUUUAAAAAGCUGGAUGUAAAAGUGUGGGUCCUAUGCACCAGGAUAUGUUUUGUAUGUGGGAUAAUAUGACAUCCAACUUCAGCACAGGACGUCUUCUGUGGUCUCCUGUGGCUUUAAGGAGUCACAAGUGGAUUUUCUGUGGGCUCCCACUAGGCAAGUCUUGGGCCGCACAGGGAGCAAAAGGGGGACAGUAGGCCCCCCAGAGAAAUGAUCUGCCAUGAAGGAAUGUCAUCCUGCAUGAAUGUAGGAAUGGAUGGACAGAGUAAAGCACCAUUAUAAUGCGUGAACAUACGUAAAGCACCUUCGGGAGUGGCUGAACGGAACAUCUCCCAUGCUCACGGCUGCGGGCCCACCAGGCUGCCAGGGAAGGUUGAGCGAACAAGGCUGGUCUGGGGCCAAAUGGGGCUAAAGGGACAGCUAUAAAUGGUGGCAGGCCUUGCCCGUAGCAAACAGGAGAAACAAGGGUCCUCAGGCAGUGACUCGGGCCCACUCAUCCAUCAUUUCAGAUGUACAUAAAAUUAUGUUUUGUUUCUGAAAAUGGUAUGCAGGGGUGGGAGUGUGUUCUGAGAAGUGUUUGUUGGUUGGCAUUUGCCUGUGGAAUGGCAGGUUUUUGAGUCUGGAACUGGCUCAGCCCCAGCCUAGACAGCUGGCCUAGUUAACCCCCUCACGGUCCCUGCUGGCCUCGGGGGGUUCUAAAACGAACUCCGGGAAUUGGCCUAAAGGCAAAUGUGUAUUUAAUCACUGACAUACAGUCAUAUGAUUGAGUCACAGUGAAGUGGGUAUGAAAAUACAUUCCUUCUUUUAGUGCCUAAGUACCGCUGUCAUGAAAUAAGAUACUAAGUGGUAUCUCAUGCAGAUGUAUACACCCAGCCCACUCAUUUUUCCAGAACAAGAUACUUUCUUUCUGUAGUAAGAUUCUGCCGACCACUUCUACAGCUGGCUCGCUAAUUCACACUCUUACUCAUUCUGCUUCAGUGGAAUGAAGGGUCACACCGGACGUUUGUCUCUGAAGCCGCCCCCUGAGAUGCCUGCACUGAGGCUGUUCACUCUGCGCUCUGUGCGCAGCGACCAUGGGUCUGUGUGAUGCCAGCCGAAAACUGUGGCCUCUCUGCUCUUUCACAAGGAGGUCAACUAAGAACUGCUGCUGGAAGAAAGACAGACAAGCCAGCCAGAUGUUUUACACUGUGUGGAACACAGGUUGCAGUCACAGAGCCUGCAUGCAGGGUGUGCCCUCCCUGCGUAAUAUCCACGAAUAUCCUGGGCAGGGGGCAGUCUUCUGGGGCAGAAGAGGAAUGUCUUCAUGGGCGUUGGAGGAGUGCCAGCAAGCUACAGGCCCACACCUGAAAUCCUGAUGCUACAUUAUUUGAGAUCCUUUCUUACAAUUAAUACAAAUGCACCUAAGUGGUGCAGCGAUGUUUAGUGGGUCUCUGGAACUUAUUCCUGUUGCUUAACCGAGACUUUACCUGUUGAUGAGUAAAUCUCAAGUUCCUCCCAGCCCCUGGCAACCAUCGUUCUGCUCUUUGCUUGUAUAAAUUUGGCUAUUUUAGAUGCUUCGGGUAAAGAAAUCUCCACGACUUUAGUCUCCGUGCAGAGUAACUUUGGGGACAUCCUUCCCUUGGGGCAAGGAGACAUCGGACACCUCUAAGUUAAUACUGGUGACUUCCGCGUAGAGUUGUCGAGCCACCACUCACCGUGCAUUUUGGGUUUCAUCUUAAACGAAAUCUCUAAGGCAAGUUGAUCCUUCCAGGCUGGGCUUUGCUGCUGAACUUGCUGACAC